rnacentral:rRNA from 1 species
CCUACGGGUGGCAGCAGUGAGGAAUAUUGGUCAAUGGGCGGGAGCCUGAACCAGCCAAGUCGCGUGAGGGAAGACGGUCCUAUGGAUUGUAAACAUCUUUAGGCGGGGAGAAAUGCCGGGCACGCGUGCCGGGAGGGAGGGUACCCGCAGAAUAAGCAUCGGCUAACUCGGGGCCAGCAGCCGCGGUAAUACGGAGGAUGCGAGCGUUAUCCGGAUUUAGUGGGUUUAAAGGGUGCGUAGGCGGAUUUUUAAGUCAGCGGUAAAAUGUCCGGGCUCAACCCGGGCCGGCCGUUGAAACUGGGGAUCUUGAGUGGGCGAGAAGUAUGCGGAAUGCGUGGUGUAGCGGUGAAAUGCAUAGAUAUCACGCAGAACUCCGAUUGCGAAGGCAGCUUACUAAACUGCCACUGACAUUGAUGCUCGAAAGUGUGGGUAUCAAACAGGAUUAGAUACCCCAGUAGUC